rnacentral:ncRNA from 11 species
GUAGAGGAGAUGGCGCAGGGGACA